UCUCUUCAUAAACACAAACGAAAUCGAAGAUCCAUAGAAAAAAUCAAUCAAUAACAUCAGCUCUUCUCUAUUCUCUUCAUCAACACCAGCUGAAAACGAAGAUUCAUCAGUUCUUCUCGAUGCUCAUCAUUAACAAAAUCCAUCAGCAGAUCAGUUCUUGAGGAUUUGUUGUGAAUCGAUGAAGAACAGUCAAUGAGGAGCACCAACAAUAUUCGAAAGUAAUUGUGUGUUGUCUAAAGCAAUUAGUAAUUGUACCGAAACUCUACCUCUUCGUUGGAAUGUUGUUGUUGUUAAUUCCAGAAAUUUGUAUGAAUGGGUUGUAUACUUAGCUCAGCAAUGGAUUUACUUACAAUGGUAUAGAAGUUGAUUAAUCAAAACACCAAACCUGUAAUUUGAGAUAACACUAUUAUCUGCUCAUACAACUGAUGGAAUCGUUGCUUGGCGAGGUUAGGAAGGAGUUCGAACAUCGCUUGGCGACCCAGAAUGAACCGAUAAGCUUCUCUUUGCUUUUUUAGUAAUAAAGAAACAAGAAAUUUCUAGUAAUAAAGAAACAUAAGUAUUGUGGAUUGUUUGGCAGGUGGUGGUGGUGGAUACCAAGGAGGAGGAGAUCAGGGAGGGUAUCUUGGUGAUGGAUAUCAAGGUGGGGGAGAUCAAAAAGAAACAAGAUAUUUCUUAGUAACAAAGUAACAUGUUUGGCAUGUGGUGGUGGUGGAUACCAAGGAGGUGGAGAUUGGGAAGGGUGUCUUGGUGGGGGAGAUCAUGGAGGUAGUGGUAGCGGAAGAGAUGGUGAUUGGAUGUGCUCUAAUUCAAGGUAUUUUUCCAUGUACUGAACACGGAGGAUAUGGAAGAUGUUUGCGGAUAUACCUGCCAUUUGAUCAGGAUCCAUUGAUAGUUUGUUUCUAAAUCAUCCUGAUUUUGUGCAUUGAACGGAUGACAUCUGCUGAAUCAUCUAGAACGACACCCGUGUCUCAUUUAAAAGAGGCUCUCCAGGGGCAGGAAUUUGAGCUGGAACAAGUACGCAUUCUGCUUCAGGAGUUUGGAGAAGGAGCAUACUUGGAAGUGUACAAGGAACUUAAAGCAUGGCAACUUGAAGGCUGUAAGUGUGGGGAGUGAUGCUUAGAUGUCUUGGAGGGUAAAGUGUGAUAAUGUGCAACUGAGUAAAAGUGAGUAAAGAAGACACUUCGUUUAAGUUUGUGGUAUUAUGUCGUUGAAUGAUUAAGAGCUUUUGUGGUGUCCGUUAAAGAAAAACACAACAUUUUUUGUUGUUUAUUGAUGGUAGCUUAUAGCCUAUGUAGGGCUAUGCUAAAUCUAUAGCUGUCUACUGAACCUCAUCAGUUGUUCAAAAAACACAACAACUUAUGUUCAAAAGUAGUGCAGUUGUAUCCUCAUAACCAAAUGAAUCUAUAGAUGUCUACUGAACCUUUUCACUACACAAACAUUGAAGUAUGAAAUCCUGUGAAAAUUAAUAGUUAUUGUUAUAUGGUUACCCUGAAACUCGCUUGAAGAUACUGUUUAGAUGGAAGGCUUCUUUGUUCAAUGUGCACUUCAUAGCUGCAGAGGACAAUGACGAAGAUGCUGAUGCACAAGAGGGUGGGGGAAUUUUACCUAGUGCAGAACCAUACUUUGCUGAGAUUCAGAAGAAGCAAAAACUGAUCAAAGAUUUGCAAGAUGCGGGUACUCCCCCCAACAAACACAGAUGCAUUGAUUGAAGCAUUUGGAAAGGAUUCUGCGCGUGCUAAAGUGUAUGAGUUUAGAAACUGAACUUCGUUGGGUAUAUUGAUUGUAUGUUAUUGGCCUGAAUAAAUUGUUCAAGUGGAAGACUUUGUUCUUUAGUGCGCAUUCAAUGUGUCUCUCAGUA